CCUACGGGAGGCAGCAGUGGGGAAUCUUGCACAAUGGGGGCAACCCUGAUGCAGCGACGCCGCGUGAGGGAUGAAGGCCCUCGGGGUGUAAAGCCCUUUCGACCGGGACGAUUAUGACGGUACCCGGAGAAGAAGCCCCGGCUAACUUCGUGCCAGCAGCCGCGGUAAU
rnacentral:rRNA from 1 species